UACAGAGGGGGCAAGCGUUGUUCGGAAUUACUGGGCGUAAAGGGCGCGUAGGCGGCCUGUUAAGUCGAACGUGAAAUCCCCGGGCUCAACCCCGGGCCUGCAGUCGAUACGGGCAGGCUAGAGUCCGGCAGGGGAGACUGGAAUUCCUGGUGUAGCGGUGAAAUGCGCAGAUAUCGGGAGGAACACCAGUGGCGAAGGCGACUACCUGGCCUGUUCUUGACGCUGAGGCGCGAAAGCUAGGGGAGCAAACGGG
rnacentral:rRNA from 1 species